rnacentral:rRNA from 1 species
GAUGAACGCUGGCGGCGUGCUUAACACAUGCAAGUCGAACGGUGAAGCUCCAGCUUGCUGGAGUGGAUCAGUGGCGAACGGGUGAGUAACACGUGAGCAACCUGCCCCUGACUCUGGGAUAACAGCCGGAAACGGCUGCUAAUACCGGAUAUGCACCAUGAACGCAUGUUCUGUGGUGGGAAAGAUUUUUCGGUUGGGGAUGGGCUCGCGGCCUAUCAGCUUGUUGGUGAGGUAAUGGCUCACCAAGGCGUCGACGGGUAGCCGGCCUGAGAGGGUGACCGGCCACACUGGGACUGAGACACGGCCCAGACUCCUACGGGAGGCAGCAGUGGGGAAUAUUGCACAAGGGGCGAAAGCCUGAUGCAGCAACGCCGCGUGAGGGAUGACGGCCUUCGGGUUGUAAACCUCUUUUAGCAGGGAAGAAGCGAGAGUGACGGUACCUGCAGAAAAAGCGCCGGCUAACUACGUG